rnacentral:lncRNA from 1 species
GGAGACCACAGUAAGUGGCAGAACCAGUUCUCAAACCUAAGUCUGUUGACAACAAAGCUGAGCUUCCCCACCUCCCUCCCCACAGUCCCUGCUGGAGAAAGCAGCAAGAAUGUGGUUUAGGGUCUUUGUUGACAGCAGAAGCAAGGCAGGUAAUAAUCUCCAGGCUUGGCUUAGGGCGCGCUUUCGGCUCCCAGCCCAUCCUUUCUGAGAGUGCUGCUAGCAGUAGCAACAGGACAGCUGUUCCUGUUCCCUCAAAUGCCUGGCGACACACACACACACACCCCACUACAGAAGAUGUAAAGGACAACACCAAGCUACAGAGGCAAGAGGUAACCCAUUCCCAGCAUGACAGUGCUAUUUAGAAAUCGCACCUUGUCAAAUGAGCCAGUGUUCAUAGCAUGCAUACCUUCAGGGAUGCAGGAAGGGUGCCCCAAGCUAGGAUCAGAUCUGCUGGGUUCAAAUGC